AAUUCUCAACCUCUCCUGGCUUUGUAAAAAGCUGGCGAGGCUUGGAUUUUGGAGGUUGCUGGCUUCUUCAAGAAACCAGCUCUUCUUAAAUGCAUUAGCAGAAAUCUUUUACUGAUCAUCUUUGGUAUGAUAAUUAUCUAUACCACAGAAAUUCAGUGUCCUGUAUUGGAAAGAAACUCUGCUUAAAAUCGUCCAUAUCAGACAAUUUGACA
rnacentral:misc_RNA from 1 species